rnacentral:rRNA from 1 species
GUACCGUUCGAAUAGGGCGGUACCUUGACGGUACCUAACCAGAAAGCCACGGCUAACUACGUGCCAGCAGCCGCGGUAAUACGUAGGUGGCAAGCGUUGUCCGGAAUUAUUGGGCGUAAAGCGCGCGCAGGCGGUUUCUUAAGUCUGAUGUGAAAGCCCCCGGCUCAACCGGGGAGGGUCAUUGGAAACUGGGGAACUUGAGUGCAGAAGAGGAGAGUGGAAUUCCACGUGUAGCGGUGAAAUGCGUAGAGAUGUGGAGGAACACCAGUGGCGAAGGCGACUCUCUGGUCUGUAACUGACGCUGAGGCGCGAAAGCGUGGGGAGCGAACAGGAUUAGAUACCCUGGUAGUCCACGCCGUAAACGAUGAGUGCUAAGUGUUAGAGGGUUUCCGCCCUUUAGUGCUGCAGCAAACGCAUUAAGCACUCCGCCUGGGGAGUACGGUCGCAAGACUGAAACUCAAAGGAAUUGACGGGGGCCCGCACAAGCGGUGGAGCAUGUGGUUUAAUUCGAAGCAACGCGAAGAACCUUACCAGGUCUUGACAUCCUCUGACAACCCUAGAGAUAGGGCUUCCCCUUCGGGGGCAGAGUGACAGGUGGUGCAUGGUUGUCGUCAGCUCGUGUCGUGAGAUGUUGGGUUAAGUCCCGCAACGAGCGCAACCCUUGAUCUUAGUUGCCAGCAUUCAGUUGGGCACUCUAAGGUGACUGCCGGUGACAAACCGGAGGAAGGUGGGGAUGACGUCAAAUCAUCAUGCCCCUUAUGACCUGGGCUACACACGUGCUACAAUGGGCAGAACAAAGGGCAGCGAAGCCGCGAGGCUAAGCCAAUCCCACAAAUCUGUUCUCAGUUCGGAUCGCAGUCUGCAACUCGACUGCGUGAAGCUGGAAUCGCUAGUAAUCGCGGAUCAGCAUGCCGCGGUGAAUACG